UUGAUAAAAGUAUCCAAUGAUGCGCGAGCAAUCACCAUCGAUGGCCAACGUCGAAUCAUCAUCUCUGGUUCUAUUCACUACCCUCGCAAUACUUCUGAGGUGGAUGUUGUUGUCUUCCUGGUGGGCACAUUUGACUAAGAACGAUUUGCAGAGU